rnacentral:rRNA from 1 species
UUGGAGGGCAAGUCUGGUGCCAGCAGCCGCGGUAAUUCCAGCUCCAAUAGCGUAUAUUAAAGUUGUUGCAGUUAAAAAGCUCGUAGUUGAAUUUCGGAGUUUGUCGGUUGGUCGGGCUUCACUGUCCGCACUGGCCUGAUGGAUUCCUACCUUCUGAAUAACCAGCAUGCUAUUAAGUUAGUGCGUUGGGGAAGCAGAGCUAUUACCUUGAAAAAAUUAGAGUGCUUAAAGCUGGCUUAUGCUUGAAUAGAUUAGCAUGGAAUAAUAAAAUAGGACGGCAUGGUUCUAUUUUGUUGGUUUCUAGGAUCACCGUAAUGAUUAAUAGGGAUAGUUGGGGGCAUUAGUAUUCAAUUGUCAGAGGUGAAAUUCUUGGAUUUAUUGAGGACUAACUUCUGCGAAAGCAUUUGCCAAGGAUGUUUUCAUUAAUCAAGAACGAAAGUUAGGGGAUCGAAGACGAUCAGAUACCGUCGUAGUCUUAACCAUAAACUAUGCCGACUAGGGAUCGGACGAUGUUAAUUUUUUAAUGACUCGUUCGGCGCCUUACGGGAAACCAAAGUGUUUGGGUUC